rnacentral:rRNA from 1 species
AGCGUAGGCGGCGUGGUAAGUCAGAUGUGAAAUCCCGGGGCUCAACCCCGGAACUGCAUCCGAUACUGCCAUGCUAGAGGAUUGGAGAGGUAGCUGGAAUUCUUGGUGUAGCAGUGAAAUGCGUAGAGAUCAAGAGGAACACUCGUGGCGAAAGUGAGCUACUGGACAAUUCCUGACGCUGAGGCUCGAAGGCUAGGGUAGCGAAAG